UACAGAGGUCUCAAGCGUUGUUCGGAUUCAUUGGGCGUAAAGGGUGCGUAGGUGGCGCCGUAAGUCGGGUGUGAAAUUUCGGAGCUUAACUCCGAAACUGCAUUCGAUACUGCGGUGCUUGAGGACUGGAGAGGAGACUGGAAUUUACGGUGUAGCAGUGAAAUGCGUAGAGAUCGUAAGGAAGACCAGUGGCGAAGGCGGGUCUCUGGACAGUUCCUGACGCUGAGGCGCGAAGGCCAGGGGAGCAAACGGG
rnacentral:rRNA from 1 species